rnacentral:lncRNA from 1 species
CUGAUGUGCAUGUAACUCAGGAGAAGUAAGAGGACAGUGUACACUUCUGCAUUUAUGUGUCAGGAAGACAAAUCCUGGAAUGAAUCCAGAUGUGCCCCAAAAUGCCAAAGCCAAGCAAAAAGGAUUUUCAAGCUAUGUUUGGGAGUAAGAAGCAGAAAUUAGAAAGGGAUAACCCUCACCCUCUUGCUUUUUGAGAAGUGUGUAAUGUUUUUUGAGACAGUCUUGCUCUUGUCACCCAGGCUAGAGUGCAGUGGCACAUCUCAG